rnacentral:rRNA from 1 species
AAGACCUUGCGCUUUUGGAGCGGCCGAUGUCUGAUUAGCUUGUUGGUGAGGUAAAAGCUUACCAAGGCUUCGAUCAGUAGCUGGUCUGAGAGGACGGCCAGCCACACUGGGACUGAGACACGGCCCAGACUCCUACGGGAGGCAGCAGUGGGGAAUUUUGGACAACGGGGGCAACCCUGAUCCAGCCAUGCCGCGUGAGUGAAGAAGGCCUUCGGGUUGUAAAGCUCUUUCAGCCGGAACGAAACGGUUACGGUUAAUACCCGUGACUACUGACGGUACCGGAAGAAGAAGCACCGGCUAACUACGUGCCAGCAGCCGCGGUAAUACGUAGGGUGCAAGCGUUAAUCGGAAUUACUGGGCGUAAAGCGUGCGCAGGUGGUUUUGUAAGUCAGAUGUGAAAUCCCCGGGCUUAACCUGGGAACU